GGUUGAUCAUCAGUCGAUCGACAAAACUCUACUGAUUCUACAAGAACUAUGGAGGUUUUCAUUGUGGUACUUCUUGCUCUGGUGGCUUGCUGCCAUUCCGCACAGGUGACUAACAUUCACCCACCAGAUGAGUUCCAGUUAAUCGACUGUAAUAGAUGGACGGAAUUUUUUAACCAGGACAGCCCUAACGCCACUGGUGAUGACGAAACAUUAACUAGACUUCGAAUAGGAAGAAAUGGACGCACUAUCUGUGCCAAUCCAUCCACAAUGGAAUAUCAAACCGUUUCUGGAGACGAUUGUAUUAACAACGGGGAACUCCUGAAAUAUGGUCCCGAUUAUGGCCUGCUCUGUCUGAAUGCUCAACAGCCUGAUCAAAAAUGUAAUGAUUACAAAGUUCGAUUCUGCUGCAAGGACAGACGAGUUCGGUGCCCACAGGGAUACCAGUGGACACGCUACUUCGACGCCGACGAUCCAACAGGCACUGGAGAUUGGGAGACGUUAAAAAACUUGCGAUCCCAUAAUCCAAUAUGCCAAUAUCCGAUCGCCAUUGAUGCCCGAGUUAAUGCCACUGGGCGCAAAUACUUUACCACUGGUGAGAGGGUGACUGUCUCUCCAUCGUACGGCUUUGUCUGCAGAAAUAAAAACCAGGCCGACCUGUGCUGCGAAGAUUACAAAGUCCGAUUCUGUUGUCCUUGUGAUAAAUAAAUAUCUAAAUGGAUAACAUGUUGGAAUGCUGAAACUGAGAAAGUCUCCCUUUUGAAAGACUCCCUUGUAAUAAAUACAAAUGGAUAAGACUAAAUAUUAAAUAUCUCACACUUAAUACAUGCCAAAUGUGCACCCAAAUUUAAUUCAAAUU